rnacentral:rRNA from 1 species
UUAAGUUAAUAAGGGCGCACGGUGGAUGCCUUGGCACUAGAAGCCGAAGAAGGACGUGACAAACGACGAAAUGCCUCGGGGAGCUGUAAGUAAGCACUGAUCCGGGGAUGUCCGAAUGGGGGAACCCACUAGCUACUGGCUAGUACUCCUAUCUGUUAAGGAUAGGAAGAGGAAGACGCAGUGAACUGAAACAUCUAAGUAGCUGCAGGAAGAGAAAGCAAACGCGAUUGCCUGAGUAGCGGCGAGCGAAACGGCAGGAGGGCAAACCGAAGAGUUUACUCUUCGGGGUUGUAGGACUGCAAUGUGGACUUAAAGAUUAUAGAAGAACUACCUGGGAAGGUGGGCCAAAGAGAGUAACAGCCUCGUAUUUUAAAUAGUCUUUAUACCUAGCAGGAUCCUGAGUACGGCGGGACACGAGAAAUCCCGUCGGAAUCUGGGAGGACCAUCUCCCAACCCUAAAUACUCUCUAGUGACCGAUAGUGAACCAGUACCGUGAGGGAAAGGUGAAAAGCACCCCGGGAGGGGAGUGAAAUAGAACCUGAAACCGUGUGCCUACAACAAGUUCGAGCCCGUUAAUGGGUGAGAGCGUGCCUUUUGUAGAAUGAACCGGCGAGUUACGAUAUGAUGCGAGGUUAAGUUGAAGAGACGGAGCCGCAGGGAAACCGAGUCUUAAUAGGGCGCCAUAGUAUCAUGUCGUAGACCCGAAACCAUGUGACCUACCCAUGAGCAGGUUGAAGGUGAGGUAAAACUCACUGGAGGACCGAACCAGGGCACGUUGAAAAGUGCUUGGAUGACUUGUGGGUAGCGGAGAAAUUCCAAACGAACUUGGAGAUAGCUGGUUCUCUCCGAAAUAGCUUUAGGGCUAGCGUCGACAUCAAGAUUCUUGGAGGUAGAGCACUGUUUGGGUGAGGGGUCCAUCCCGGAUUACCAAUCUCAGAUAAACUCCGAAUGCCAAUGAAUUAUGGUCGGCAGUCAGACUGCGAGUGCUAAGAUCCGUAGUCGAAAGGGAAACAGCCCAGACCACCAGCUAAGGUCCCAAAAUAUAUGUUAAGUGGAAAAGGAUGUGGGGUUGCACAGACAACUAGGAUGUUAGCUUAGAAGCAGCUAUUCAUUCAAAGAGUGCGUAAUAGCUCACUAGUCGAGUGACCCUGCGCCGAAAAUGUACCGGGGCUAAAACAAUUUACCGAAGCUGUGGAUACCUUUAUAGGUAUGGUAGGAGAGCGUUCUAUGUGUGGCGAAGGUGUACCGUGAGGAGCGCUGGAACGCAUAGAAGUGAGAAUGCCGGUAUGAGUAGCGAAAGACAGGUGAGAAUCCUGUCCACCGUAAGACUAAGGUUUCCAGGGGAAGGCUCGUCCGCCCUGGGUUAGUCGGGACCUAAGGAGAGACCGAAAGGUGUAUCCGAUGGACAACAGGUUGAUAUUCCUGUACUAGAGUAUGUAGUGAAGGAGGGACGCAGUAGGCUAACUAAAGCGUGCGACUGGAAGUGCACGUCUAAGCAGUGAGGUGUGAAUUGAGUUAAAUGCUUAAUUCUAUAACAUUGAGCUGUGAUGGGGAGCGAAGUUUAGUAGCGAAGUUAGUGAUGUCACACUGCCAAGAAAAGCUUCUAGCGUUAAUCAUACUCUACCCGUACCGCAAACCGACACAGGUAGUCGAGGCGAGUAGCCUCAGGUGAGCGAGAGAACUCUCGUUAAGGAACUCGGCAAAAUGACCCCGUAACUUCGGGAGAAGGGGUGCUGGCUUAAAGUCAGCCGCAGUGAAUAGGCCCAAGCAACUGUUUAUCAAAAACACAGCUCUCUGCUAAAUCGUAAGAUGAUGUAUAGGGGGUGACGCCUGCCCGGUGCUGGAAGGUUAAGAGGAGUGCUUAGCGGUAACGCGAAGGUAUGAAUUGAAGCCCCAGUAAACGGCGGCCGUAACUAUAACGGUCCUAAGGUAGCGAAAUUCCUUGUCGGGUAAGUUCC